UAUCCUGUCUGAAUAUGGGGGGACCAUCCUCCAAGGCUAAAUACUCCUGACUGACCGAUAGUGAACCAGUACCGUGAGGGAAAGGCGAAAAGAACCCCGGCGAGGGGAGUGAAAAAGAACCUGAAACCGUGUACGUACAAGCAGUGGGAGCCCCACCACCAAAGCAUUUGCUGUACCGCGUUGACGGAGCGAAGCGACGUCAAACCGAUAAAACAGCAGUGUAAAGUGAGCCGCAGGGCGCUUUGCGCGACAGCGCAAAGGCAGGCGGUUUCGCGUAGCGAAAGCGAAUGCUUUGGGGUGGGGUGACUGCGUACCUUUUGUAUAAUGGGUCAGCGACUUAUAUUCUGUAGCAAGGUUAACCGAAUAGGGGAGCCGGAGGGAAACCGAGUCUUAAUUGGGCGUUAAGUUGCAGGGUAUAGACCCGAAACCCGGUGAUCUAGCCAUGGGCAGGUUGAAGGUUGGGUAACACUAACUGGAGGACCGAACCGACUAAUGUUGAAAAAUUAGCGGAUGACCUGUGGCUGGGGGUGAAAGGCCAAUCAAACCGGGAGAUAGCUGGUUCUCCCCGAAAGCUAUUUAGGUAGCGCCUCGUGAAUUCAUCUCCGGGGGUAGAGCACUGUUUCGGCUAGGGGGCCAUCCCGGCUUACCAACCCGAUGCAAACUGCGAAUACCGGAGAAUGUUAUCACGGGAGACACACGGCGGGUGCUAACGUCCGUCGUGAAGAGGGAAACAACCCAGACCGCCAGCUAAGGUCCCAAAGUCAUGGUUAAGUGGGAAACGAUGUGGGAAGGCCCAGACAGCCAGGAUGUUGGCUUAGAAGCAGCCAUCAUUUAAAGAAAGCGUAAUAGCUCACUGGUCGAGUCGGCCUGCGCGGAAGAUGUAACGGGGCUAAACCAUGCACCGAAGCUGCGGCAGCGACACUGUGUGUUGUUGGGUAGGGGAGCGUUCUGUAAGCCUGUGAAGGUGUGUCGUGAGGCAUGCUGGAGGUAUCAGAAGUGCGAAUGCUGACAUAAGUAACGAUAAAGCGGGUGAAAAGCCCGCUCGCCGGAAGACCAAGGGUUCCUGUCCAACGUUAAUCGGGGCAGGGUGAGUCGACCCCUAAGGCGAGGCCGAAAGGCGUAGUCGAUGGGAAACGGGUUAAUAUUCCCGUACUUGGUGUUACUGCGAAGGGGGGACGGAGAAGGCUAUGUUGGCCGGGCGACGGUUGUCCCGGUUUAAGCGUGUAGGUGUGUGUUCCAGGUAAAUCCGGUUCACUUUAACACUGAGGCGUGACGACGAGGCACUACGGUGCUGAAGCAACAAAUGCCCUGCUUCCAGGAAAAGCCUCUAAGCAUCAGGUAACAUCAAAUCGUACCCCAAACCGACACAGGUGGUCAGGUAGAGAAUACCAAGGCGCUUGAGAGAACUCGGGUGAAGGAACUAGGCAAAAUGGUGCCGUAACUUCGGGAGAAGGCACGCUGACACGUAGGUGAAGUGAUUUACUCAUGGAGCUGAAGUCAGUCGAAGAUACCAGCUGGCUGCAACUGUUUAUUAAAAACACAGCACUGUGCAAACACGAAAGUGGACGUAUACGGUGUGACGCCUGCCCGGUGCCGGAAGGUUAAUUGAUGGGGUCAGCGCAAGCGAAGCUCCUGAUCGAAGCCCCGGUAAACGGCGGCCGUAACUAUAACGGUCCUAAGGUAGCGAAAUUCCUUGUCGGGUAAGUUCCGACCUGCACGAAUGGCGUAAUGAUGGCCAGGCUGUCUCCACCCGAGACUCAGUGAAAUUGAACUCGCUGUGAAGAUGCAGUGUACCCGCGGCAAGACGGAAAGACCCCGUGAACCUUUACUAUAGCUUGACACUGAACAUUGAGCCUUGAUGUGUAGGAUAGGUGGGAGGCUUUGAAGUGUGGACGCCAGUCUGCAUGGAGCCGACCUUGAAAUACCACCCUUUAAUGUUUGAUGUUCUAACGUGGACCCGUUACCCGGGUUGCGGACAGUGUCUGGUGGGUAGUUUGACUGGGGCGGUCUCCUCCUAAAGAGUAACGGAGGAGCACGA
rnacentral:rRNA from 1 species